rnacentral:rRNA from 1 species
UACGGGGGGGGCAAGCGUUGUUCGGAAUUACUGGGCGUAAAGGGCUCGUAGGCGGCCAACUAAGUCGGAUGUGAAAUCCCCAGGCUUAACCUGGGAACUGCACUUGAAACUACGAUGCUGGAGUAUGGCAGAGGGAGGUGGAAUUCCACGUGUAGCGGUGAAAUGCGUAGAGAUGUGGAGGAACACCAGUAGCGAAGGCGGCACUCUGGGCCGGUACUGACGCUGAGGAGCGAAAGCGUGGGGAGCAAACAGG